GCUGCGCCAUUAUGGCGGUCCCCUCCCUCGUCGUCGUUCGAAAAGACCGAGGAUUGAAAUCAGUGUAAUCUCGCUUCUCCCUACUACGACAAAUGGACACACGUAUGUCCUCGUGUAUCUACAGCAUCGAAAUUUCAACUCAUCGACAUUGCACUGAUUUCAUUCCAUAAUAAACUUGAAAACGACGCAGAACUAUAGCCUGGCAAGCGCAGUUAUCGACAAUCAAAUUGUUAUAUAUCGUAAGGCUUUGCAGAACCACAAUCGUUGAACCCUAAUUCUUCAAUUAUUCCCAGUAUGUACGGCGCAACUUUCUCGAGGUAAGGAAAAAUAUUUGCGCUGUGUUUUCGCGGUAUGCAAAGUGCAAUAUUUCACGAAGGAUCCACGAAGGGAGGAUCAGCGAUUCGAAACUCCCGCGAUAUUUAAUCGCGGCCUCAAGAGAAUCAACGGGGAGUGUUCCGAGUUGUUUGAUCAGGUGCUGCGCGGAAUUCCGGCGUUUGCGGCGAAUUUUCUUCAACGUCGUAUCGGGUGUAGAUGCAAUCUUCGUCUGGUGCAAUUCCGAUUAAAAUUCUAGAGUCGCAUGUAAGCGAAGCGAUGCUAAUGUGAAAG